rnacentral:rRNA from 1 species
AGCGAACGCUGGCGGCAGGCCUAACACAUGCAAGUCGAACGAACCCUUCGGGGUUAGUGGCGGACGGGUGAGUAACACGUGGGAACGUGCCUUUAGGUUCGGAAUAACUCAGGAAACUUGUGCUAAUACCGAAUGUGCCCUUCGGGGGAAAGGUUUAUCGCCUUUAGAGCGGCCCGCGUCUGAUUAGCUAGUUGGUGAGGUAAUGGCUCACCAAGGCUACGAUCAGUAGCUGGUCUGAGAGGAUGACCAGCCACAUUGGGACUGAGACACGGCCCAAACUCCUACGGGAGGCAGCAGUGGGGAAUCUUGCGCAAUGGGCGAAAGCCUGACGCAGCCAUGCCGCGUGGAUGAUGAAGGUCUUAGGAUUGUAAAAUCCUUUCACCGGUGAAGAUAAUGACUGUAGCCGGAGAAGAAGCCCCGGCUAACUUCGUGCCAGCCGCCGCGGUAACAC